UACGUAGGGGGCAAGCGUUGUCCGGAAUUAUUGGGCGUAAAGAGCGCGUAGGCGGUCCGGUAAGUCGGUUGUGAAAGUCGGGGGCUCAACCCUCGGAUGCCGAUCGAUACUGUCGGGCUAGAGUCCGGAAGAGGCGAGUGGAAUUCCUGGUGUAGCGGUGAAAUGCGCAGAUAUCAGGAGGAACACCAAUGGCGAAGGCAGCUCGCUGGGACGGUACUGACGCGUGAGGCGCGAAAGCGUGGGGAGCAAACAGG
rnacentral:rRNA from 1 species